rnacentral:snRNA from 1 species
AUAUUUUUCUCGCCUUUUGGCUAAGACAAAAUGUUGUAUUUGGUCUUAUCUAAUUAAUAUUUGGUAUGUGGGUCAUAUAUUUACUUUAAUAUUAAAUUUAUUUUUACGGUACUCUGCUAGUAUCGUCUGAUCCAUCCCAA